AGAGUUUGAUCAUGGCUCAGAACGAACGCUGGCGGCGUGGCUAAGACAUGCAAGUCGAACGGACUCGUUAAUUUAUUAGCGAGUCAGUGGCGAAAGGGUGAGUAAUGAAUAGGUAACGUACCCCGAGCUCUGGGAUAGCCAUCCGAAAGGAUGGGUAAUACCGGAUAACAUCACAGGUCGAUGGGCCUGUGCUCAAAGAUUCAUCGGCGCGGGAGCGGCCUAUUUCCUAUCAGCUAGUUGGUGAGGUAACGGCCCACCAAGGCGAAGACGGGUAGCGGGACUGAGAGGUUGGCCCGCCACAUCGGAACUGAGAUACUGUCCGGACCCCCACGGGGGCUGCAGUAACGAAUCUUGGGCAAUGGGCGAAAGCCUGACCCAGCGACGCCGCGUGCGGGAGGAAGUCCUUCGGGAUGUAAACCGCUGUCAGGGGUAAGAAAGUCCACUUCGGUGGAUUGAUCGAACCCAGAGGAAGUCACGGCUAACUCUGUGCCAGCCGCCGCGGUAAUAC
rnacentral:rRNA from 1 species